rnacentral:rRNA from 1 species
UUGAACGCUGGCGGCAUGCUUUACACCUGCAAGUCGAACGGCAGCGGGGAGGAGCUUGCUUCUCUGCCGGCGAGUGGCGAACGGGUGAGUAAUACAUCGGAACGUGUCGAGAAGAGGGGGAUAACCACCCGAAAGGGUGGCUAAUACCGCAUAAAUUCGGAGGAAGAAAGCUGGGGACCUAGGAAUAGGCCUAGCGCUUUUUGAGCGGCCGAUGUCGGAUUAGCUAGUUGGUGAGGUAAAGGCUCACCAAGGCGAAGAUCUGUAGCGGGUCUGAGAGGAUGAUCCGCCACACUGGGACUGAGACACGGCCCAGACUCCUACGGGAGGCAGCAGUGGGGAAUUUUGGACAAUGGGGGCAACCCUGAUCCAGCCAUGCCGCGUGUAUGAAGAAGGCCUUAGGGUUGUAAAGUACUUUUGUUAGGGAAGAAAAGUCAGCUGUGAAUAAUGGCUGAUACUGACGGUACCUAAAGAAUAAGCACCGGCUAACUACGUG